rnacentral:rRNA from 1 species
ACGGGAGGCAGCAGUGAGGAAUAUUGGUCAAUGGUCGGAAGACUGAACCAGCCAUGCCGCGUGCAGGAAUAAGGCCCUAUGGGUCGUAAACUGCUUUUGUGGUGGAGCAAUAAGGCGUACGUGUACGUCGAUGAGAGUACAUCACGAAUAAGCAUCGGCUAACUCCGUGCCAGCAGCCGCGGUAAUACGGAGGAUGCAAGCGUUAUCCGGAUUUAUUGGGUUUAAAGGGUGCGUAGGCUGUGCAUCAAGUCAGCGGUGAAAGCCCGGGGCCUAACUCCGGAACUGCCGUUGAUACUGUUGUGAUGGAAUACGGAUGCCGUGGGAGGAAUGAGUAGUGUAGCGGUGAAAUGCAUAGAUAUUACUCAGAACACCGAUUGCGAAGGCAUCUCACGAAUCCGUUAUUGACGCUGAGGCACGAAAGCGUGGGGAUCAAACAGGAUUAGAUACCCUGGUA